GGGCAUGUAGCGCAGUUGGUAGCGCGCUCGCUUCGCAACGGUUGUUACCUUAGCGGUGGAUGACCUGGCUGCGAGAGGUCUUCAGUUCGAUCCUGGACUUGUCGA